GAACUUUACGCUCAACCGACACCGGGAUAAAUCCGCUACUGAGUCUCAUCUCAAAAGAGACGCUAAACCACGCCUCUUUAGCAGAGAAGAUCUUGGAGAUGUUGGAAGAUCCUGAAUCGGCGCUGAAAUUGUAAGAGCGAAAAUACUCCUUAUAAGGUUGUUUUUCACCAAGGAAAUCUGGCGCCAAAGAAGGUCGAUUUGACCUGACUCAAAGUUCCUUGUGUGUGCGAAGCAGAAAUGAGACGGAAAGAAUGUCUGAGAAAUAAACUGUUUUGACAGAUAAGAAUAAUAAUGGGCUUGUUUUGCACUUUUGAAAUGGAGCGGAUGUUGGAGGUCAAUAGGUCUUAACACUCCUUAAGAAACCCCAAUACACACUCAUGUGAAAGCUGAUAGAAUUCUUACGUAAGGACACACGUCAAACACGGGCAGUAAUGCUAUUGGUCGAAACUUACCAACUUACACCAAUGAAAAUGAGAUUCUAUAAAACAGACUGACACUAAGAAUACAAUGAGAUUUUGGGGAGAAUUUUGAGAAUUGACUUUGUACUGUAAAUUGAUCUGUGGAACAGUGUAAUAAAUCUCCACCCGCCGUGGCCUGCAGU